rnacentral:rRNA from 1 species
CGGGAAACCGGAGCUAAUACCGGAUAAUAUUUGAACCGCAUGGUUCAAAAGUGAAAGACGGUCUUGCUGUCACUUAUAGAUGGAUCCGCGCUGCAUUAGCUAGUUGGUAAGGUAACGGCUUACCAAGGCAACGAUGCAUAGCCGACCUGAGAGGGUGAUCGGCCACACUGGAACUGAGACACGGUCCAGACUCCUACGGGAGGCAGCAGCC